AAACCUAAUAUCUGUAGGAGUUUUUCGAAUUCUGGUUUUGCUGCUGCACUGAAACCGUCCCCGUUUACGGGGACGUACUUUAAGCGUUGGCAGACUAAAACCACCUUAUGGCUCACGGCCAUGAACGUGUUCUGGGUCGCCGGUGUGACUCCUACAGGAACGAUCGCUCCUGAACAGGAGAAGGCGUUUAAGGAGGCCACCGUGGUGUUCCUCGGGGCAGUUCUGAGCGUGAUUGGAGAUAAGCUGGUUGAUGCAUAUUUACAUAUGCGGUCUGCCAAGGACUUGUGGGAGGCGCUCGAAUCUAAGUUCGGGGCUGCCGAUGCAGGGAGCGAGAUGUAUAUUAUAGAGCAGUUCCACGAUUACAAGAUGGUUGAAAACCGUCCUGUAUUGGAGCAGGCUCAUGAGAUAAUAUGCAUUGUUAAGGAGCUUGAGCUUCUUAAGUGCGAGUUACCGGGCAAAUUUGUCGCGGGCUGCAUAAUCGCUAAGCUCCCCAAUUCCUGGAGGAACUUUGCCACCACUCUGAAACAUCAGAGGCGUGAAUUCUCUGUGGAGGAUGUCAUUGGCCAUCUGAGUGUUGAGCAGAACUCAAGGGCAAAGGACUCGCACGGAAAAGGGGUCGAAGGAACUUCUGUGGCCAAUAUGGUGCAUCAGAAGAACUCCAAUUCCCACAAGCCCAGGGGAAAGAACGGUGUCCAACAGACUGCCGACUUUAAGAAGAAGGGUAAGAAGACCUUCAAGAAGAACAAGAAGGAUGAGGGCUGCUUUACUUGUGGUUCGGCUGAACAUUGGGCCAACAAGUGCCCAAACAAGUUUAAGAAGUCAGGACAGGACUCCAAGUCUGUCAACAUGAUUGUGAGCAACAAUGAGAAUGGUGCAUCUGGGUACGGUAAUUUAUUUACUGUUUUUUCAGUGUUUCAGCCUACCGAUUGGUGGGUGGAUACAGGUGCAGGUGUUCAUGUGUGUGCUGACAUUUCAUUGUUCUCUUCUUACCAGGUCACAGGCCACGGGUCCGUAUUGAUGGGGAAUGGCGCGAGUGCUUCUGUUCAUGGUGUUGGCACGGUCGAUCUGAAGUUUACUUCGGGAAGGAUCGUGCAGCUGAAGAACGUGCAGCAUGUCCCCGCCAUCAAGAAGAACCUCGUUAGUGGCUCCCUUCUAUGUAGAGAAGGGUUUAAGUUGGUAUUCGAGUCUAAUAAAUUAGUUGUUACUAAGUAUGGACUAUUUGUUGGAAAAGGUUAUGAGAGCGGAGGGAUGUUCCGCCUUUCCCUCGCAGAUUUCUGUAAUAAAGUCGUGAACCAUAUUCAUUCGAGUAUUAAUGAAUCUGAGGUUUGGCAC
rnacentral:rRNA from 1 species